CCCAGGCUUGUGGCUCACAGAUGAACCUCAUGGCCGCCAGUCGCAGGGACUCCUGUGGGCUGUCCAGGUACAGCAAGGCACGGUGCUGGUGAAAUGGAUUGCCCUCAUCGCACAACAUGCCAGUAUUGGAAACACAAACUGCUCUGGGAACUUGGCGAUAAUUAUGAAUUGGCCUGCAGGCGAGAACUUUGAUCUACUGGAAGAAGAGGGGCAGGAACAGGUGUCAUAUGCUGACUAAGCUCCACCUUACAACCAACUGCCACAAGGAGGAACACGCGACGCUCUUUUCACUGACAGUUCCUGUUGCAUUGUAAGGACGAACUGAAAGUGCAAAGCAGCUGAAUGGAGCCCCACGGGACAGGUUGCAGAAGCUACUGAAGGAGAGGGUGGAUCGAGCCAACUUGCUGAACUCAAAGCCGUCCAGUUGGCCCUGAACAUUGGUGAGGGAGAGAAGUGGCCAGAACUCCCUCUCUACACUGACUCAUGGAUGCCAGACAAUGCUCUGUGGAGGCCUUUCCUGGCUGGAAAGGUGGGAAAAGGCCAGUUGGCAGCACAGGGGAAAAGGAAUCUGGGCUGCAGAUGAAUGGCAAGACAUUAGCACUCAGGUGGAGAAGCUACCUGUGAAACUCUGUUGUGUGGGUGCCCACAUGCCUAAGAGUUGGGCUAAUGAGGAGCACAGAAAAAAUGAACAAGUGGAUCAGGCUGCAAAAACUGAGGUGUUACAGAUAGGUUUGUAUUUGGCAACACAAGGGACAGCUGUUCACAGCUCAAUGGGCCCAUGAUGCCUCAGGCCAUCAGGGCAGAGAUGCCACCUGUAGGUGGGCACGAGACCCAGGGGUGGAUGUAACCAUGGACAGCAUCUCCCAGGUUAUCCAUGAUUGUGAGAUGUGAGCUGCAAUCAAGCAAGCUAAGCAGGUGAAGCCCCUGUGGUAUGGGGGGCCAUGGUUCAAACAGAAGCAUGGCGAGGCCUGGCAGAUUGACUACAUCACACUGCCUCCAACCUGCCAAGGCAAGUGCUACGUUCUCCCAAUGGUAGAAGCCACCCCGGGAUGGUUGGACACCCAGCCUGUGCCUCAUGGCACUGCCCACAACACCAUGCUGGGCCUUGAAAAGCAGGUCCUUUGGAGGCAUGGUACCUGUGAGAGAAUUGAGUCCACCAAAGGGACUUAUCUCAAGGACAGCCUUAUCAACACCUGGGCUAGGGAAGCUGGCAUUGAGUGGGUACAUCACAUUCCCUACCAUGCACCAGCAGCCAGGAAAGUUCAGCAGGGCAAUGAACUCUUCAAAAACACUUUGAAGGCAAUGGGGGGAUGGGACCCUCAAGCAGUGGGAGAUGCCUUUAGCGAAGGCUACAUGGUUAGUUAAUAGCAGAGAUUCCACCAAGCAAGGUGGCCAUGCCCAAUCCGAGCCCCUGUGCACAGCAGGUGGAGGCAAGGUUCUGGUGGUGCACAUGGGAGGUGUGCUAGGAAAGACUGUUUGGAUUAAUUCUGCUCAAAGACAAACCCACCUGUGGGGUUGUCUUUGCUCAGGGACCAGGUUGCACUUGAUGGGUGAUGCAGAAAGAUGGAUAAACACAAUGGAUAUCUCCAGGGGACCAUGUUUUUGGGGUGAAUUGCCCAAAACACUGUGCUUGUAUCCAUAUCGGCAUCUAUGUGUGCAUGUAUAUAAUUAGGAUAAUAUAUGGAUGUUUAUAGUUUAAAAGUCAAAGUUUGAUGUAACAUGUUGGUAUGGGAAAAAUUCAGGGUGGAAAAUGUUGUGUGUUUGGGGUGGUUUUUUUGGUGAAUUUUCUCUCAUUUGUUACCUGGAAGGGAGAUGUCUAGAGGAGAGGGCAGUUGAUGCCUGUGGGGAAUGAAUUGUCUGUGGGACAAUUGAGAUGCAAAAGGACUGGCCAAUGACUCUCCCAUUCCACUGGAAGCUUCAAAGGAGGGAGGAUGGGGUUGGGCACUGGCUUGCUGAGGGAAGAACCAGCUGGCCAUGCUAGGAGCAGGGCAGUUUGGGCAGUUUCUGGUGCUGGACCUGGCACUGCUUCAGAAUUCUCCUUGCCAGCCAUAGGUGAGCCCAUUGCUUGCAGCAACUGCUGGUUGAUGGGGACUUUUCCACACUCACCAUUGCCAGGAAGAUCCUCACCAUCUGUGUGGGUGCUUGAGGGGAAACGGGACCACCCCACCUAUUCUCUCUCUCUCUGGAGAGAGGGAGCCCCAGGUGCUGCUUGACUGGAACCACAGCAGAGCUGCCAUGGCCAGGAUACUGCCACAGACAGAUUCCUCCCUGGAGUGAGGAUGCUCCUCAAGGUCAUGCCUUGAGGCUGAGAGAAAUGUUUGCCCAUGGUCAUUGGUUUGGGUUCCACCUGCACAUUGGAUGGGAGAGAAGGUCACAGAAAGCUGUCAGCAAACAUGGAGCAAAAGGACCUCUGGACAGCAAGGCAAGGAGAUCCCUACUCUGAGAUCCUGAACUGCACCAGACAACACUGGGGGCACAAAGCUCUCGCGGGGGGCUGUGCAAGAGAGGCCAGUGUGUGUGUGCAGGGACAUGGCACCAGGGAUGGGGCAGGGGAGUGAAGGUGCCCUUGUGAAAGCCAGGGGCUGCCACAAGAGAGAGAACAAACAACGGGGUGUGUCCACAGCAGGGACAGGGAGAGGCGAAGGAACAAGCAGAGGUCUC